rnacentral:tRNA from 1 species
CUUUUAAGGGAAACCAGUAAUCCGGUGGCCUUAGAAG